rnacentral:rRNA from 1 species
AGUGAACGCUGGCGGUAGGCCUAACACAUGCAAGUCGAACGGCAGCACAGUAAGAGCUUGCUCUUACGGGUGGCGAGUGGCGGACGGGUGAGGAAUACAUCGGAAUCUACUUUUUCGUGGGGGAUAACGUAGGGAAACUUACGCUAAUACCGCAUACGACCUACGGGUGAAAGCAGGGGAUCUUCGGACCUUGCGCGAUUGGAUGAGCCGAUGUCGGAUUAGCUAGUUGGCGGGGUAAAGGCCCACCAAGGCGACGAUCCGUAGCUGGUCUGAGAGGAUGAAUCGCCACACUUGAACUGAGACACGGUCCAGGCUCCCAACGGAGGGAACAGUGGGGAAUAUUGGACAAUGGGCGCAAGCCUGAUCCAGCCAUACCGCGUGGGUGAAGAAGGCCUUCGGGUUGUAAAGCCCUUUUGUUGGGAAAGAAAAGCAGCAGGUUAAUACCCCGCUGUUCUGACGGUACCCAAAGAAUAAGCACCGGCUAACUUCGUG